UCAAAUUAUUAAGUGCAAACGGCGGAUGCCUUGGCACCAGGAGCCGAUGAAGGACGUAGGAGGCUGCGAUAAGCCUCGGGGAGCUGUCAACCGAGCUGUGAUCCGAGGAUUUCCGAAUGGGGAAACCCAGCAGGAGUCAUGUCCUGUUACUCACGCCUGAAUAUAUAGGGCGUGUAGAGGGAACGUGGGGAAGUGAAACAUCUCAGUACCCACAGGAAGAGAAAGAAAACUCGAUUCCGUUAGUAGUGGCGAGCGAAAGCGGAAGAGGCUAAACCGAAUACGUGUCAAGCCGGCAGGCGUUGCGUAGUCGGGGUCGUGGGACCAUUCAGGUCGAUCUGCCGAUUGAUCAAUGAGUCAGAAAUCGUCGUUGUAGGCGAAGGGCAUGCGAAAGGCCCGGCGUAGAGGGUAAGACCCCCGUAGCCGAAACACCGACGACUCAUGAGUGUCAUCCCAAGUAGCACGGGGCCCGAGAAAUCCCGUGUGAAUCUGGCGGGACCACCCGCUAAGCCUAAAUACUCCCUGGUGACCGAUAGCGGACAAGUACCGUGAGGGAAAGGUUAAAAGAACCCCGAGAGGGGAGUGAAAUAGAUCCUGAAACCGUUUGCAUACAAGCCGUUGGAGCGACUUCGUGUUGUGACAGCGUGCCUUUUGAAGAAUGAGCCUGCGAGUUAGUGUUAUGUGGCGAGGUUAACCCGUGUGGGGAAGCCGUAGCGAAAGCGAGUCCGAAUAGGGCGCCAUAGUCGCAUGAUCUAAACCCGAAGCGGGGUGAUCUAUCCAUGGCCAGGUUGAAGCGCAGGUAAGACUGCGUGGAGGACCGAACCCACUAGGGUUGAAAACCUAGGGGAUGAGCUGUGGAUAGGGGUGAAAGGCCAAUCAAACUCCGUGAUAGCUGGUUCUCCCCGAAAUGCAUUUAGGUGCAGCGUUGCGUGUUUCUUACCGGAGGUAGAGCUACUGGAUGGUCUAGGGGGCCUAAAAGCUUACUGAAAUCAGCCAAACUCCGAAUGCCGGUAAGUGAGAGCGCAGCAGUGAGACGGCGGGGGAUAAGCUUCGUCGUCGAGAGGGAAACAACCCAGAACAGCAGCUAAGGUCCCAAAGCGUGUGCUAAGUGGUAAAGGAUGUGGAGUCGCAUAGACAACCAGGAGGUUGGCUUAGAAGCAGCCACCCUUGAAAGAGUGCGUAAUAGCUCACUGGUCAAGUGAUUCCGCGCCGACAAUGUAACGGGGCUCAAGCACACCACCGAAGCUCUGUCAUUCACACAUGUUCCAGGCCUUCGUGGUCCAGGAGUGUGGAUGGGUAGGGGAGCGUCGUGUGGCGAGUGAAGCGGCGGGGGAACCCAGCCGUGGACGCUACACGAGUGAGAAUGCAGGCAUGAGUAGCGAAUGACGGGUGAGAAACCCGUCCUCCGAAAGACCAAGGGUUCCUGGGCCAGGCUAAUCCGCCCAGGGUAAGUCGGGACCUAAGGCGAGGCCGACAGGCGUAGUCGAUGGACAACGGGUUGAUAUUCCCGUACCCGCUUUAAAGCGCCCAUAUCGAACCUAGUAGUGCUAAGUGUUUGAAGUGAGUACCGACCUAGUCGGCGCUCAUGGAUAGCGCGACCCCAUCUGGUAGUAGAUAAGCAAUGGUGUGACGCAGGAAGGUAGUCCAACCCGGGCGAUGGUAGUCCCGGGGUAAGGGUGUAGGGCGAUCCGUAGGCAAAUCCGCGGAUCAUUAAGCCUGAGACCUGAUGCCGAGCCGUAAGGCGAAGUGGAUGAUCCUAUGCUGCCGAGAAAAGCAUCUAGCGAGCUUUAUAGCGGCCCGUACCCGAAACCGACACAGGUGGUCAGGUAGAGAAUACUAAGGAGAUCGAGAUAAUCGUGGUUAAGGAACUCGGCAAAAUGCCCCCGUAACUUCGGGAGAAGGGGGGCCGAGGGGCGUGUAGGGACUUGCUCCCGAAGCGCGUUUCGGCCGCAGAGACCAGGCUCAAGCGACUGUUUACCAAAAACACAGGUCCGUGCGAAGUUGCAAAACGAUGUAUACGGACUGACGCCUGCCCGGUGCUGGAAGGUUAAGGGGACCGGUUAGUUCGAAAGAGCGAAGCUGAGAACUUAAGCCCCAGUAAACGGCGGUGGUAACUAUAACCAUCCUAAGGUAGCGAAAUUCCUUGUCGGGUAAGUUCCGACCUGCACGAAUGGCGUAACGACUUGAGCGCUGUCUCAACCAUGAACUCGGCGAAAUUGCACUACGAGUAAAGAUGCUCGUUACGCGCAGCAGGACAGAAAGACCCCGGGACCUUUACUAUAGCUUGAUAUUGGUGUUCGGAACGGCUUGUGUAGGAUAGGUGGGAGACUUUGAAGCGGGCACGCCAGUGUCUGUGGAGUCAACGUUGAAAUACCACUCUGGUCGUUUUGAGCUUCUAACCUCGGUCCGUGAUCCGGAUCAGGGACAGUGUCUGGUGGGUAGUUUAACUGGGGCGGUUGCCUCCUAAAGAGUAACGGAGGCGCUCAAAGGUUCCCUCAGCCUGGUUGGCAAUCAGGUGUUGAGUGUAAGUGCACAAGGGAGCUUGACUGCGAGACAGACAUGUCGAGCAGGUGCGAAAGCAGGAACUAGUGAUCC
rnacentral:rRNA from 1 species